GAUGAACGCUGGCGGCGUGCCUAAUACAUGCAAGUCGAGCGAACGGACGAGAAGCUUGCUUCUCUGAUGUUAGCGGCGGACGGGUGAGUAACACGUGGAUAACCUACCUAUAAGACUGGGAUAACUUCGGGAAACCGGAGCUAAUACCGGAUAAUAUUUUGAACCGCAUGGUUCAAAAGUGAAAGACGGUCUUGCUGUCACUUAUAGAUGGAUCCGCGCUGCAUUAGCUAGUUGGUAAGGUAACGGCUUACCAAGGCAACGAUGCAUAGCCGACCUGAGAGGGUGAUCGGCAACACUGGAACUGAGACACGGUCCAGACUCCUACGGGAGGCAGCAGUAGGGAAUCUUCCGCAAUGGGCGAAAGCCUGACGGAGCAACGCCGCGUGAGUGAUGAAGGUCUUCGGAUCGUAAAACUCUGUUAUUAGGGAAGAACAUAUGUGUAAGUAACUGUGCACAUCUUGACGGUACCUAAUCAGAAAGCCACGGCUAACUACGUGCCAGCAGCCGCGGUAAUACGUAGGUGGCAAGCGUUAUCCGGAAUUAUUGGGCGUAAAGCGCGCGUAGCGGUUUUUUAAGUCUGAUGUGAAAGCCCACGGCUCACCCGUGGAGGGUCAUUGGAAACUGGAAAACUUGAGUGCAGAAGAGGAAAGUGGAAUUCCAUGUGUAGCGGUGAAAUGCGCAGAGAUAUGGAGGAACACCAGUGGCGAAGGCGACUUUCUGGUCUGUAACUGACGCUGAUGUGCGAAAGCGUGGGGAUCAAACAGGAUUAGAUACCCUGGUAGUCCACGCCGUAAACGAUGAGUGCUAAGUGUUAGGGGGUUUCCGCCCCUUAGUGCUGCAGCUAACGCAUUAAGCACUCCGCCUGGGGAGUACGACCGCAAGGUUGAAACUCAAAGGAAUUGACGGGGACCCGCACAAGCGGUGGAGCAUGUGGUUUAAUUCGAAGCAACGCGAAGAACCUUACCAAAUCUUGACAUCCUUUGACAACUCUAGAGAUAGAGCUUUCCCCUUCGGGGGACAAAGUGACAGGUGGUGCAUGGUUGUCGUCAGCUCGUGUCGUGAGAUGUUGGGUUAAGUCCCGCAACGAGCGCAACCCUUAAGCUUAGUUGCCAUCAUUAAGUUGGGCACUCUAAGUUGACUGCCGGUGACAAACCGGAGGAAGGUGGGGAUGACGUCAAAUCAUCAUGCCCCUUAUGAUUUGGGCUACACACGUGCUACAAUGGACAAUACAAAGGGCAGCGAAACCGUGAGGUCAAGCGAAUCCCAUAAAGUUGUUCUCAGUUCGGAUUGUAGUCUGCAACUCGACUACAUGAAGCUGGAAUCGCUAGUAAUCGUAGAUCAGCAUGCUACGGUGAAUACGUUCCCGGGUCU
rnacentral:rRNA from 1 species